GGCUGGAUAGCUCAGUUGGCAGAGCGCCAGAACGGAAAUCUGGAGGUCGCAGAUUCAAAUCCAGCUCCAGUCA